rfam:Ciona savignyi cont_43766, whole genome shotgun sequence.
GUUACGUAUAUGACGACGUCAUUACAAACUCCUCGAGGGAAUGACGUCAGAGAUCGGUGAC